GAAACCCUGACGCAGCCAUACCGCGUGGAUGGAGAAGGCCUUCGGGUUGUAAAGCACUUUCAGCGAGGAGGAAAGGGAUGUAGUUAAUAACUGCAUUCUGUGACGUUACUCGCAGAAGAAGCACCGGCUAACUUCGUGCCAGCAGCCGCGGUAAUACGAGGGGUGCAAGCGUUAAUCGGAAUUACUGGGCGUAAAGCGUGCGUAGGUGGUUUGUUAAGCAAGAUGUGAAAGCCCCGGGCUCAACCUGGGAACUGCAUUUUGAACUGGCAAACUAGAGUAUUGUAGAGGGUAGUGGAAUUUCCAGUGUAGCGGUGAAAUGCGUAGAGAUUGGAAGGAACAUCAGUGGCGAAGGCGGCUACCUGGACAAAUACUGACACUGAGGCACGAAAGCGUGGGGAGCAAACAGGAUUAGAUACCCUGGUAGUCCACGCCGUAAACGAUGUCAACUAGCCGUCUGUGACCUCGAGUCGUGGGUGGCGCAGCUAACGCACUAAGUUGACCGCCUGGGGAGUACGGCCGCAAGGUUAAAACUCAAAUGAAUUGACGGGGGCCCGCACAAGCGGUGGAGCAUGUGGUUUAAUUCGAUGCAACGCGAAGAACCUUACCAUCCCUUGACAUCCAGAGAAGAGACUAGAGAUAGACUUGUGCCUUCGGGAACUCUGUGACAGGUGCUGCAUGGCUGUCGUCAGCUCGUGUUGUGAAAUGUUGGGUUAAGUCCCGCAACGAGCGCAACCCCUAUCCUUAUUUGCCAGCGCGUAAUGGCGGGAACUCUAAGGAGACUGCCGGUGAUAAACCGGAGGAAG
rnacentral:rRNA from 1 species